rnacentral:rRNA from 1 species
AUGAAUUAGAAAGAAAGAGAUCAGGUUAUUUAUGAUCGGAGAAAAGGAAGGGGCGUGGUUGAUGUGUCACUGGGAACCCGUAGGAAGGGGAGACGACCGGCCUCAUUCACAUCUGAAAUCGCCAACAUGAACACAAACGAAAUCGUCUUAAUUUCAUAUAGAAAAAAAAGGAAACAAGUAAAAAAGUGUGGUCCCCGGGGAUAG